rnacentral:lncRNA from 1 species
AGAUUCUAGAUUUGUGUUUACUUUUUUGAUCGUAUUUCAUUCAUAACUCUCUUUGCGGAUUUGUUAUUACAUCUGAGCAAAAUCACCAGUGGAACAUUCCAUGAAACGUACUGAAAACAAGAUUCUUGGAAGGUUCUUAUCCAUCCAUCGGAACGUAGGAUAAACUCCCGACUGAAUGUUGAAUAAUACUCGUCAAAUACACGGAACGGAGUUUAAACCCAAGUGCCGAUUUUCCGGAAGGAACGUUGGAUUAUCGCCGCUGAUCGAGAGAGAAGGAGUUCGGAGAGGGCUAAGAGGAACGCGGUGGAUUUUGGGAGAGCCGACAGCCCGACGCCACGUUUCCCCUCCGCCAGCCCUUGACGAUCAAGUCGAAAGACGUACAGCACCGAAAACGUCAUGAACGAAGCGUGCGAAUACGUACACUUGACGGUUUCGAUGCUGACAGUAAUUAAAGUGUAGUAAAGAAUCCAUCAUUUUGGUCGUAUUGGGAUUUGGAGGAUUGCGAUAGCUUGGAGAAACGGGGAUCUGGAUGAUUCUUUCAGUAAUCAAAAAUCCAUCAUUUUGGAAAAACUGGGAUCUAGCUAUUCUCGGGCCAGCAAUUCGCCCAAACCACCGGGAAAGCAGCCAUAGGACCGAUCAACUGACUGCGUCCAGGAAGUUUCCGGUAUUCUGGUAUCUGCCUGGCCUGCAACUUGUUACCCCCAAAAAUAAAACGUGUAGCUGUAUCUGAAUACACAUGCAUACGUAUAUAUUACAUAGAAUUGAUGCCCGUCCAUCUAGGUUUCGUGGAAAGAACGCUAACGGUAGCAUCGAGGGUUUCUCCUAAUUGUACCUGGAAACGCUCGAACCGCGGGGAUCCAAAUCACAUGGCGCUUUAUUGUAUUUUUUGCUGUAUAAAUAAUCUUUUACAGAUGGAGGUAUAAUGCAUAUCUGUACAUGUCUAUCUCUACGUACGACAUUCUGGUUGAUCCUGUCGCAGCUUCGCCGAUUUAACCGGAGAUCAGUAGUAGAAUUCUUAUUACAUAAAGUACUUUGCACCAUAAGAUAAGAAAAACGAUACUAUAAUAACAAUAAUAAUGUUAACGAAAUUAGUAAGAACUGUAAUACAAAUCCUUUUACUGGAAUCGAUCAAACGUUAUAGUGCCAUAAUUGUAACGCGAGGAUUCAGUAAUUUUUAAAUUGCUAUUAUACACAUACAGAUAAAGAGAAACGGUUACACGGGCAUGUGAUACGUCCGUAUAUUAAAAUAUACCAUGAAAAAAUUUUGAUACCAAUA